rnacentral:rRNA from 1 species
UACGUAGGUGGCGAGCGUUGUCCGGAUUUACUGGGCGUAAAGGGAGCGUAGGCGGGCUUUUAAGUGAGAUGUGAAAUACUCGGGCUCAACUUGAGUGCUGCAUUUCAAACUGGAAGUCUAGAGUGCAGGAGUGGAGAAUGGAAUUCCUAGUGUAGCGGUGAAAUGCGUAGAGAUUAGGAAGAACACCAGUGGCGAAGGCGAUUCUCUGGACUGUAACUGACGCUGAGGCUCGAAAGCGUGGGGAGCAAACAGG